AGAGAGAGAGAGAGAGAGAGAGAAAGAAAGAAAGAAAGAGAAAGAAAAGCCCACUUCUACCAUGUCAUUGGAGCUCAGCCUAAAGAUAAGAGGCUGAAACCAAUGUCUACUGGGAGUCACGGCUAGCAAGGGCCAGAUACAGUUGCCUUCCACUUGAACUGGCUUCUUUAUCUGCAUAACUUGGGGGAAACUUUCCAGAUGAACUGUCAUUCAGAAACCUUCAAAGGAAAUUGAUUCUUAGUCCGAGCUAGGACUCAUGGCAAAGAAAUAGAGAAAUGUUCUGAGAAUGUAAGGGAGAGGAGAGCGUGUGGAAACUGUGAGGGAGGUGGGCAGUCUAGAGCUCAGGUUUAUUCUCCUCAGGGCACAAAAGCUUCCAGGGACCUGUGAGCCUUCCUGUAAAGUGGAGCACUUCCCAAGUGGAGCACCAACCCUGACAGGCACAGACUGCCAUGUGCUUCCUCUCAAGAAGUUUUCUGGCAAGGCUCAUAUAGGUUCCUGACCAUGAAUCUGUCUUUCUCAUUCCUUUGUAAAGAUGUUGGCCAGAACCCAAGCAUGCUUUUUCUGAUAGUUUGGGCUUCCUUACUCUUUCCCUAAAACCACUGGCCUCCCUGCUAUGCGGUACCAGCUGCCAGGCCUGGAUGAAUGCUGGUACCACAAAGCUUUUCCUUCUGCAUUUUCCUCCUCCAGGCAACUCCUGGGAUCAACAGCUUGCCUGGCCUGGAGGUUUUCUUUUAAAUUGUAAUAAAGUUGUCCUUGAGCUUAAAAAUAAAAACAUACAAAAGCAGGGCUAAAGAGAUGGAUGGCUUGCCUGGUCUUCCAAGGGUCCUGAGUUCAAUUCCCAG
rnacentral:lncRNA from 1 species